AACGCACGAGACCUGCGGACCUGCGGAAGGAUCAUUACACAAUACAAUAUGAAGGCUGUCCGCAGCUGGAGUAUUUUAUUACCCUUGUCUUUUGCGCACUUGUUGUUUCCUGGGCGGGUUCGCUCGCCACCAGGACCACCAAAUAAACCUUUUUUAUGCAGUUGCAAUCAGCGUCAGUACAAACAAUGUAAAUCAUUUACAACUUUCAACAAUGGAUCUCU
rnacentral:misc_RNA from 1 species